GAGCUCUGGGCUCCAGCAAACACGCACUUGCGCCCCCACCGCGUUUGCGCCGCUGGCGACCUGGCCCCCUCCCCUGGCCCCAGGGCUCAGCAGAGCGGGAGCCUGCACCGAGCACGGCUUGUCCCAUGGAUUUCCCGUCAGGAAAAGCCACAGCAGAGGUCGGGGGAGGGAGGGGAGAAGCCAGGACCCUCCUCCUCCAGGGCUGGUGAGGCUGUUCCCUCUCCGGCCUGAAGACGUCCAACCCCAGCUCCCACGGGGGAUGGUCCUGGGUCCCCCUCCCCGCGGCUCCGCAGGCUCUGACGGUCUCUGACCGGGCACCCGUGCCCUGCGGGGCCUGGUGGGCUCAGUGCCAGCCCAGGAGCCUUCUCUGCGGCCCCCACCUUAUGAGAUGGGCGGUGAAGCGCCGGCCUCUCCCAGCAGGGGUGCCUGGGUGCUCAGAGCCCACCUCUCACAGCCGCGGUCCCGGUCCAGUUGCUGUGUUUCUGUGCGACUUCCCUGUGGCGGCCAAGGGAGGGCCUGGAGGCUGAGCCCCCGCCCGGGACUUACCAGGGGCAGGCACUGGGCCAGGAUCCCGGUCCGGGGAAUGCAGCGGAAGGGGCUGUACUCCCUCAGCUGGAUGCAGCACUGGCUGUGACACUCCUGAUGGCUGCUGCAGAAGUCGCCGUUGGGCUGGGGAGGCAGCCAGGCAGCAGUCGUGGAGAGGGGCUGUCUCCGGCUACCCCUGCUCCAUCUGCCCCGGGUGCCCGCAGCUCACCUUGCGCCAGGGCACACACUGCAGGAAGACGCUUUGGGGCGUGCACAACUCCUGCGGGCUGUUGUUGCGGACGCAGCAGCUGCUCUGGCACUCUGAGUCGUGCGAGCAUCUGUACCCAUUGGGCUAUGGGACAGGAGACGCGUCAUCCCUGCACCCACCAUCCACUCCCUGGCUCUUCAGGGGCAGGUAGGAGGGGGCCACAGGCAGUCUCGCUCCUCCACCCCCGCCCCUGCACGCACCUCACCUUCCUCCAGGGCAGGCACUGCAGGAAGAUGGUCUUAGGGGUGCAGAGCGUGUGUGGGGCCAGGCUGUUGAUGGUACAGCAGUUGCUCUGGCACUCCUCGUGUCUCCUGCAUGGCUCCCCGAUGCCCUGAAACACCACUCACCAGCUCGCUCACCUGUUCCUGGGCAGGGCCUGCAGACUCAGCACUCAGGAAAGGCCUGCCCUCUCCUUGGCUCCCCUGUGUCACCAUCCUUCAAACUUGGGUUUCCUGAGAAGUUUCUGGAACAAACCCAGACUGCCGUGGUUCUGGCAGGUCAGUGCUGGGGGCCCGGGGCUGAGAAAGGGAAUGUCUACUGUGAGCCACGUGGAAGAGGGUAAACCAAGGCACUGAGGGCAAGGAUGCAGCAGCAGAGCAUGGGUGAAGCUCUCAGGCCAGCCCAGUGCCUGGCAUUUUACAGGAGAAGAAACAGGCUCAGGGAAGGCGAGCAAGGUGCCCAGGAUUGCACAGCUGGCAGAGGUGAGCUGAGAGCCAGGCCUCCCCCCUGCACCACGGCUUGUAGCCACCCCCCACCCACACACACGCAAGGUGCUGCUGUGUGCGCGACCUCUGGUCUUGUUUGCUCAGAGUGUUGUGGAUGAGGCUAUGUCUAUUGACGUUACUGGAUUCCACCCUAAAACUGAGAGAAUUUUAAGAUAAAAACAGUAAUCCCAUUGCAUGUUAACAUAAAUAACAACUUUUUAUUAAAAGUGGGUAUAUUUUCUGGCCAGGCGCAGUGGCUCAUGCCUGUAAUCCCAGCACUUUGGGAGGGUGAGGCCGGUGGAUCACCUGAGGUCAGGAGUUUGAGAACAGCCUCGUCAACAUGGUGAAACCCCAUCUCUACCAAAAAUGCAAAAUUUAGCCAGGCGUGGUGGCGCGCGCCUGUAAUCCCAGCUACUCGGGAGGCAGAGGCAGGAGA
rnacentral:lncRNA from 10 species